rnacentral:tRNA from 4 species
GCCCUGGUAGCUCAGUUGGUAGAGCAUACGACUGUUAAUCGUAGGGUCGCAGGUUCAAAUCCUGUCCGGGGCG